GCCACGUGCGGUAGUUUGUUCUCUUUCUCGAAGUUGGCUCUAUCGAGUGAUCUGCCAUUGCGCUGAAAAAUCGGUGAAGCCCGUAAAUUGAUGAAGCUUGCGGGCAUAUUCAGCAAAAUGGAGAAGAUCUACCAGGUAGUGGUGAUUGGAGUCAGAGGGGAGAGACGUCGGCAAUGCGGCAGCGUGGCACUGUAUGACAGUACUAAAGCUGAAAGAGAACAUUCUUAAAAGGCUACCGACGGUGAAAGGGUUAGAUCUGCAGCGCCAGCAGCUGAUAUACUCACGUUGUCUCGCCUACUAUGGGAUCCAGCACAAGUCUAUGAUUCAGACAGUGGUGCAGUUACCGGGGGCUGGGGGGAGGGCGGAGAGCUUGACAAAUAGGCAAAACUUCCACUAUGUCACAUCUGCUCCUGCCACGCCCUCUAGUGUUCAUCUGGUGUCUCCUUGACCUGCAGCUACUCCCCCAGUACACUCUCCCUCCCUCUUCCCCUCCCUCUCUCUCUCUCUCUCUGUGUGAUUGUGUGGUUGGAGACAGGUGUGCUGGAGUCAGAGCAAAACCCCACCAGCUGCAACCCGUUCCAUAAUCAAGACCUCUACAAAUACUCACUUCCUGCCACUUCCACUCGGCCAGAUCAUAAUCUCCGUUCAGUCAGUCAUGCUUCUAGCUAUUUGUUAUUAUUUAAGGUCCUGUAUCCUGCUGUGCCUGUUUCCCUGCCUGACAAUGUUUCUCCUCUCACUGCAGUUUUGCUCUGACUCUGGUGCCUGUCUCCUGUUUCACAUCUCACCACCCUGCUACCCUGUUCUGGAUUCAGCUCACCAUCACUCCCUUGGAUUCCCCUCAGGACCUGUUUACCCUGUCCCAACCCAGCUCACUCCAACCUCAGCCUCCACAUCUGGUUUCCUACAACCCGUCCGACCUUCCCUGGAUCUCCCCUUCAUCUCUCCCUGUGUUACAAUAUAUAUCUUGGUUCAUUCAUCCCUGUUUCCUUGUCUGCGUUUGUUCUUGGGUUCCCCUGUGCUGCUCCGCCAAGACUACGUUCUUUUACUCGUGUCUAUUAACGAUAAAGCAUGUAUCUGUUUUUGCUGUAUUGUAUGACAAUGAAUGUGAAAUAAUUGUUGUCCUUAAGUCAUGUUAAUGAGAAUAAAAGAGAGCCGCACACUCUAGGAGCUCAGAUGCAAAAAUUGAAUGACCAACGUUUCGACAGCCAAGCUGUCUUCAUCAGGGUCAUCAGGCUGUCCUAGCUCCUAGAGUGUGCGGCACUCUUUUAUUCUUAUUUUCAAGUUUUCUACUCCGCCAGCCAGCACCUCCCCUAAAUAGGUGGUAGUUUAUUUUUCUUCGAGAUAAGUCAUGUUAAUGGACAUCAAUAAAUUAUUAAUUAAUGUCACAUAAAGGUGCAGAGGGUUCAUUUGGUUUCUUGGGGGCAGGAGACCUCCAGCUAUUCUAAAACCAUUGACAUUUUUGGGGCUGUAAUAUGACAACACAACUGUGCCCUCAUACACACAGGACGGACUAUGAGUUCUGACUAAGGGAGGCAGGCUUGCUUUCCCUGGAAAGUCACUUGCAUUUGUUUGUCAACAUCAGUACAUUUGACUUCUCGCUUUCUAGCAUUUACAAGAAGUCCAACCUCUGGUUUCGUGUACCCAGGCACUGGAAUUCCCUCCCCAUGUCAGAAAACCUUCACAUUCCAGUUCCAUCUACAGACCUACCUUUACCUACCCCUCCAAAAUCCAAUCCAACCAAAGCACACGGGCAAACCCUUAUGUACACUUACACACACAGCUGACUGUGUUACCAGGAUCUGGCAUCCCAGGGGAGUAUCAGUAAGCAUUGCUUUGGCAACAAUUCAAGUAAUGGAGCAGAUGAAUGAUAGCCUGCAUGGUUACCAGUCUGCUCAGACAUCAUUCCCAUCCUUGACACUCCUGUCAUGCUCUUAGACAUAUGACCAGUGGUGGAUUUAGGUAUAGGCGACAUGGGCGCAUAUUGCCGGGGGCGGCACGGGGCGACCGCACACCCAAAAAGUCGGAAUGGUGACAUUUAUGCUAGCGGUUUUCUAUCACUCAUUUGCAUGUCAUAUCAAUGAUAUUACUGUGGUACUGUGGGUCAAUUAACCUUGUCGGAGUGGCGCCCUGAUUCUAGUUUGUGAGCUAGGCAGGCUACUGCCUGCGAAGGUCUCCCACUCAGAAGUACGAGAUGGGGAGGGGGCAGGGGUAGGUUGACCUCAGGACUCGACUGGAAGCCCGAGGAAGGGGGAGCGGGGGACUCUAUCAAAUAGAGCACCUCUAACUUUGUACAGCACAAAUGCAAUUAGUUGUGCAAUUUAGUAUGUGUUUCUUGUUUGAAGUGCAAUAGUGUAAUAAUCAGGUGUGUUAUUCUAUUUGUGUAAGUGUGUUAUUCUAUUUGUGUAUUUGUGUGAUACAGGUUUUGUGCAGUUUAGUUUUAUUUGUGUGUUUUUGUUAGCAAUAAUUAAAUUAUAUAUUUUUUAUAUA